rnacentral:piRNA from 1 species
UGCAGCCAAGGAAGCAAAGCAUGG